AUUGAACGCUGGCGGCAGGCCUAACACAUGCAAGUCGAGCGGAUGACGGGAGCUUGCUCCUUGAUUCAGCGGCGGACGGGUGAGUAAUACCUAGGAAUCUGCCUGAUAGUGGGGGACAACGUUUCGAAAGGAACGCUAAUACCGCAUGCGUUCUACGGGAGAAAGCAGGGGACCUUCGGGCCUUGCGCUAUCAUAUGAGCCUAGGUCGGAAUAGCUAGUUGGUGAGGUAAUGGCUAACCAAGGGGACGAUCCGUAACUGGUCUGAGAGGAUGAUCAGUCACACUGGAACUGAGACACGGUCCAGACUCCUACGGGAGGCAGCAGUGGGGAAUAUUGGACAAUGGGCGAAAGCCUGAUCCAGCCAUGCCGCGUGUGUGAAGAAGGUCUUCGGAUUGUAAAGCACUUUAAGUUGGGAGGAAGGGCAGUAAGCUAAUACCUUGCUGUUUUGACGUUACCGACAGAAUAAGCACCGGCUAACUCUGUGCCAGCCGCCGCCGUAAAAC
rnacentral:rRNA from 1 species